CACACUCUUUGUCACAGCCACUGUUUUACAUAUAUAGCAAACCGAAACUGCACAACGGUACACGCUCAUCAGACUGUACAAAUUCACACAAGGAUAGCCAUAAUCCACAACCAUUUCUUACAGGGUCACUUCGCAUUUCUCACUCUCAUAAUAAAACGCUUUGCAAAAAGAAACGAUAUCUCAUUAAAAAAAAACACGUUUUCAACAUACAAAAAUUCCAAGUUACUCACACAUACAAGACAUAGGCCUACACCGUCUAUAACUCAUUCAUUCAGACUGCCAAAAUCCAGGCCUGCCAUUAAAAGUAUUGAUAUCAAAAUGACGCCAAGUUACGGUACUACAAACAAUAUAGGCUAUCUUGACUCACUGAAAUUAAAUAAGAUGUAUUCCAAAGCAAUGCUACCCAAUAUUUCCUCAAUUCUUUCAAGUCACCGGGAGCUUUGGAAGGAGCGCCGUGAACUCGCAAACUGGGGUGUGCACACCACUAGGGGGCGUGGUGACAGGCGUGAUCGUGCUGCUCUCUCUGGUCUUCCUCAUGCCACUCUUUUGCUACGUCCCUAAGGCCGCUCUAGCUGCGGUCAUCAUCUCCUCUGUGGCUCCCAUGGCUGACCUCCGAGGGUACCAGGAGAUCUGGGAGGUUGGAGGAGUGGACCUGGUGUCUUUCCUGGUGACCUUCCUGGUGAGCUUCUGGAAGAUGCAGUAUGGUAUUGUCGGAGGUGUAGCUGUUUCCGGAGCAAUCCAUCUGUUCAGUUUUACAAGGAAAAAGCUCUCUGUGAACUCCAGCAUACACCACUCAUGACUCACCCUGGAGAAACUUGAACAAUGUAUCAGCAGGUCACCUCCUCACCUGGAUUAUUUUGCCCUCAGUAGUCCUGUCAAUUUUGAACUUCCUUGAUGAUAUUUAACCAUAUAUUUCAUAAAAACUUAAUGUUUCCUCAAAAACUGAUGCACCUGAAGUUACAGGAAGAGAAAUAGUGUGUCUGGGGAAGAUUGUGUUGAGAUGUUCUUGUAAACCUUCGCCAUCUCAACCAAACACGGUGCAUCAGCGACCUCCGGUGGUGGAUGCGAGAACUGCGUAGAUAUACUGGUGGACUAUUUAGUGAAAUCAAGGGCGGAGGAAGGCAGGGGAACUCCAGAGGACAAGUCGUGCUUGUCUGCACUCUCCCAAAUUGAGAAAGGAAGUUGCAGUGAUGAGAUGGACCUAUGUGUGCAACUGGACAUUUCAAGUUUGGAGAGGAUAAAAAAUUGAGGGUGAAAAAAAAAACUGCAAGCAGAAACACUCUAAAGUAGGCCAAGCCAUAGAGUAGUUCUAUAUAGUGUUGACCACUCCCUUGAGUGGAUGCAAUUUUAUAUAGAACCGUUUUAUCGUAUAAUGUGAAAGUGCUUUAAAGUGAAGCAGGGAAGCUUACCUCAGCCACCGAUGUGUAGCACCCACCUAGGUGAUCCAUGACAGCCAAAUGCACCAGACUUCUCACUACACAUCAGUACAGGCAGAGGGGGGGGGCAAGAUUAGGCAAUUACAUAAAGGGGUCAUCUAUUAUUGGAAAAUUGAGAUAAUGUGUGUGUGUGUGUGUAUGUGUAAAUAUACACCAUAUGACCUAAAGUAUGUGGACACCCCUUGGUCUGGGGCUGUUGUUCAUGGUUUGGAAUCACAUUCUACUCCAAACAACUCCAUAUUAAUCCCCAUAAUUCUGGAUGAGAUGUUGGAUUUCAGGUGUCCGUGUAUAGUACUUUUAGCCCUAUAGUGUCUUUCUUGCUCAGGUCCCCUUUGCAAAAGAGAUUUUGAUCUCAAUGGGGGUUUUUUCUGGUUAAAUAAAGGUUAAAUAAAUAAAAAAUCCAACACACAAUAGUACUUUUCACCCAGCGCUGUUAUUGCUUGUCAGCAUAUGUGCAUAAUGUUCCAUAAACUGUUCAUGUUCAUGGUUCUUCAAUGGCAGUAGUCUGUCAUUAAACGGGUGUUCCUGGUUCCUGUCAUUCACUGAGUCUUCCUGGAUGAUGUUCCUCCUAACAUGUGUGAUGGCAAAAUCCAGAAAGCUCUUUUGCCCAUCCAUAGCGUGAAUUCUCCCUAUUGAUAAAUAUUGUCUGUUCUCUAACGAGUUGUGUAACUGUCACUUCUACAACGGUUCAGAACAUAGCUACUGCUGAGAGGAACCUUU